GCACUUGGUGAUUCAUCUGCAGGCUGCUAAGUGGCAUUCACUCUGCCUUCAGAGAUGAGUACAUCACGACUCAGACCCAUGGGAGGGCGCGGAGCUACCCGGCGACAAUGCAAUGACAACUCACCAAGCCUCUGUCUUCAUUUCCUGUCUAUACUUGGCAGAUAGCCCAAUGCCUGGAACAGGUUUUGGGGUACCUGUGAAGGACAUGCAAGAUUGUUGCAUAGGUACACACAUGGCAGCGUGAUUUUCUGCCUUCCGCCCCUUCGUAUGAUAAGGUGGAAAGACAUCUUCAAGACUUUGGGCAAAUAACUAUGUCUGAGCCUCAAUUUUCACCUACUAAAUAUUUCAUCAAUAAAAAAAUGAGCUCAA